rnacentral:rRNA from 1 species
CAGCCGCCACGGUAAUACGGAGGGUGCAAGCGUUAAUCGGAAUUACUGGGCGUAAAGCGCACGCAGGCGGUCUGACAAGUCAGAUGUGAAAUCCCCGGGCUUAACCUGGGAACUGCAUUUGAAACUGUCAGGCUGGAGUCUUGUAGAGGGGGGUAGAAUUCCAGGUGUAGCGGUGAAAUGCGUAGAGAUCUGGAGGAAUACCGAUGGCGAAGGCAGCCAUCUGGCCUAAUACUGACGCUGAGGUACGAAAGCAUGGGGAGCAAACAGGAUUAGAUACCCGCGUAGUCCCUGUCUCUUAUAC